AGACCCCAACUCCUCUCUCACACUAUAGUCACUAGUCAGAUCUCUCUCUCCUCUCACAGUCACCACGCACGCACUCUGCACUCACGCUCUCAUUCUCUGAUUUCCCAAGCACCACCACCGGCCACCACCAUGCCGGCCGCCGCCGCUGCACCACCAUGUGCCACUCUCCAGCCGUGCGCCCCUGCCUUUGGAUGUGCCUCUGCGGUUCUAAUUUCUACAACAAAGGCAGGGUGUGACAGAACUGAGCCUCUUUGGGAGAAGCUGAACUGAUCUGAAUUUACUCUUGGUCUCUAUUCUUCGCUGCAUGUUUCCUGCUGCUUCGUGCCUCAAUUCUGUGUAUUCUGCACUGGUGCUUUUUACAUGUUAAUAUGGUCAUGAAAAUGUGUUGUUGUUUUGCCUGCUUGCUUUGCUCCCUGCUGGUGGUAACCUAGGACCAUUCAUUCUCAGUCUCUUACGAAUUGGAGUGGAUUGUAUGCUGGUUUAGUGUGAUUGUUUUGUCCCCUGAUCUCUUUUUUUGUUUCUGCCCCCUGUAGCUUAGUACCUUUAUGUUUUUAAUGUUAAUUUUACUUUUGUUGGCCUUGUGAUCCUACUCUUGUGUGGAUCUUAGGUGCUGUGUUUUGUACUAGAUCCUUGGGCUCUCUUUUUGCUCUUGGUUCCCUUUCUAUUUCAAUAAAGCUUAUGUUUCCAAAAAAAUAAAUAAACAUAUUACAUUUGUUUUUAAUUA